rnacentral:rRNA from 1 species
AACGUAGGUGGCGAGCGUUAUCCGGAUUUACUGGGCGUAAAGCGUGUUCAGGCGGUUUGGAAAGUCGGGCAUGAAAUCUCUUGGCUCAACCAGGAGAGGCUGUCCGAUACUUCCAGACUUGAGGGCAACAGAGGGCGGUGGAAUUCCGGGUGUAGUGGUAAAAUGCGUAGAUAUCCGGAGGAACACCUGUGGCGAAGGCGGCCGCCUGGGUUGCCCCUGACGCUAAAACACGAAGGCUAGGGCAGAGAACGGG